GACGAACGCUGGCGGCGUGCUUAACACAUGCAAGUCGAACGCUGAACCCGCUUCGGUGGGGGAUGAGUGGCGAACGGGUGAGUAACACGUGGGCAACCUGCCCCCGGCUCUGGGAUAACUCCAAGAAAUUGGGGCUAAUACCGGAUGUGACCGCUGGCCGCAUGGGCUGGUGGUGGAAAGGGUUUCCGGCUGGGGAUGGGCCCGCGGCCUAUCAGCUUGUUGGUGGGGUAGUGGCCUACCAAGGCGACGACGGGUAGCCGGCCUGAGAGGGUGACCGGCCACACUGGGACUGAGACACGGCCCAGACUCCUACGGGAGGCAGCAGUGGGGAAUAUUGCGCAAUGGGCGGAAGCCUGACGCAGCGACGCCGCGUGGGGGAUGACGGCCUUCGGGUUGUAAACCUCUUUCAGCAGGGACGAAACGCAAGUGACGGUACCUGCAGAAGAAGCACCGGCCAACUACGUG
rnacentral:rRNA from 1 species